GACGAACGCUGGCGGCGUGCCUAAUACAUGCAAGUCGAGCGAAGUUUUUCUGGUGCUUGCCCUAGAAAAACUUAGCGGCGAACGGGUGAGUAACACGUAAAGAGCCUGCCUCAUAGACUGGGACAACUAUUGGAAACGAUAGCUAAUACCGGAUAACAGUAUUUCUCGCAUGAGAGAUAUUUAAAAGUUGGUUAUGCUAACACUAUGAGAUUGCUUUGCGGUGCAUUAGCUAGUUGGUGGGGUAAAGGCCCACCAAGGCGACGAUGCAUAGCCGACCUGAGAGGGUGAUCGGCCACACUGGGACUGAGACACGGCCCAGACUCCUACGGGAGGCAGCAGUAGGGAAUCUUCCGCAAUGGGCGAAAGCCUGACGGAGCAACGCCGCGUGAGUGAAGAAGGAUUUCGGUUCGUAAAGCUCUGUUGUUAGGGAAGAAUGGAUAUGUAGUAACUAUACAUGUAAGAGACGGUACCUAACCAGAAAGCCACGGCUAACUACGUG
rnacentral:rRNA from 1 species